CUGCCCUGGAACACAGCGUCUGGGACUCAUCAGCUCCCUGAAAUCCAGCACAAGCCUCAUUCUUCCCUUCCUCUGUCCAGCUGUGGUCCAGAAAGGAAAUAACCCUGGCGCCUGCCCCAGACCAGCCCUAGCCUCUGGGCUCCCCCACACUUGUCUCCUACUACAUCUCCAGCUACACUGGCCCAGACAACAUCUAAGCCGCACCCCAGAGGAAAACAG
rnacentral:lncRNA from 10 species